GGGGAUUUAGCUCAGUGGUAGAGCGCUUGCCUAGCAAGAUCAAGACCCUAGCAAAGCCCUGGGUUCGGUCCCCAGCUCCG
rfam:Rattus norvegicus chromosome 12, whole genome shotgun sequence.